GUGCCAGCAGCCGCGGUAAUACGUAGGGUGCGAGCGUUGUCCGGAAUUAUUGGGCGUAAAGAGCUCGUAGGCGGUGUGUCACGUCGGCCGUGAAAACCUCAGGCUUAACUUGGGGCUUGCGGUCGAUACGGGCAUCACUUGAGUUCGGUAGGGGAGACUGGAAUUCCUGGUGUAGCGGUGGAAUGCGCAGAUAUCAGGAGGAACACCGGUGGCGAAGGCGGGUCUCUGGGCCGAUACUGACGCUGAGGAGCGAAAGCGUGGGGAGCGAACAGGAUUAGAUACCCUGGUAGUCC
rnacentral:rRNA from 1 species